AUGAGAAUAAAGGGUAGUAUUUACGAGAAAAUGAGAGAGAGUAAAUCAUAUCUAACCUCCUCCAGCCUUUUUUUUUUUUUUUUUCAUAAGAGACCAAAUAAAACUUACGCACUCUCCUAGCUGUGAUUGCCCUUCAGUUACAGAGACUGAGAGCGGAGGGAGACCAGGUCUGAGAUAACAAAGCAACUCAUUCCUUGAAGGACAUUCACACUGAUGUCCUAUUUUCAAACUAUUUGAAAAUUGCAUCAUUCUGCCUCCAGUACUGGCAGUUUCUCUGUUCUGUGAUCAAUGUGAUUCACAGGAACAUUUUGUUAAAUGAGCCGAGGGUGUGGAAAAUAUGACUUUUAUAUUGGUCUGGGAUUAGCUAUGAGCUCCAGCAUUUUCACUGGAGGUAGUUUCAUUUGGGGAGGGGAAAAAAAAAGGCUUUCUGCGACUUGCCAGAAAAGGUCCUCUGAGAGCAGGUCAAGGUGGCCACGCAUAUCCUAAAGAAUGGUUGUGGUGGGCUAGACUGCUGUCAAUGGCAGCUGGCGAGGUGGCCAACUCAGCUGCAUAUGGGUUUGCACCGGCCACACUGGUGACUCCACUAGGAACUCUCAGCGUCCUAGUAAGUGCUAUUCUUUCUUCAUACUUUCUAAAUGAAAGAUUUAAUCCUUACGGGAAAUUUGGAUGUUUGCUAAGUAUUUGAGGAUCUACAGUUACGAUCACUCAUCCUCCAAAAGAAGAGGAUAUUGAGACUAAAUAAAAUAUCUCACAAGCUAGGUGAUCCAGGUUUUGUGGACUUUGCAACACUUGUGGUCAUUAUGGCCAUGAUAUUAAUCUUCCUGGUGGGUCCCCACCAGGGACAACGAUCUUGUGUAUGUAGCAAUUUGCACAUUUGUGUAUGUAACAAAUUGGCACAUUUUCAGUCUCCUGGGUUAAGAGCCUAGGCAGUGCUAUCAGAGAGCUGUUUGCUGGAAAGCCUGCACUGCCACAUCCCCUGGCCUGUGUUCUGCUGCUAAGCCUCAUUGUCUGUGUGAACACAUAGAUUAAUUACCUAAAUUGCGCCCUGGAUAUAUUUAACACUUCCAUCAUGACUCCAAUACAUUACAUAUUCUUUACGACAUCAGUUUUUAAACUUGUUCAGCUAUUAUUUUUAAGGAGUGGCAAGAUAUGCCCAUUGAUGAUGUCACUGGUACUUUUGACUGGCUUUACAAUAAUCGUGGGGAUAUUCUUGUUGCAUGCUUUUAAGAGUGUCAGCUUUAGUCUAGCAAGUCUGCCUGUGUCUCUUCGAAAAGACAAAAAAGCAAUGAAUGGCAAUCUCUCUAAUAUGUAAGAAGUUCUUAAUAAUAAUGAAGAAAGCAA
rnacentral:lncRNA from 1 species